UACGUAGGGUGCGAGCGUUAAUCGGAAUUACUGGGCGUAAAGCGUGCGCAGGCUGGCAGGUAAGUCAGUGGUGAAAUCUCUCGGCUCAACCGAGAAACUGCCAUUGAUACUGUAGGACUUGAAUUCGGUCGAAGUGGGCGGAAUAUGACAUGUAGCGGUGAAAUGCUUAGAUAUGUCAUAGAACACCGAUAGCGAAGGCAGCUCACUAGGCCUGGAUUGACGCUCAGGGACGAAAGCGUGGGGAGCAAACAGG
rnacentral:rRNA from 1 species